GUGGUACAGAGGCAAUGUGGGAGCCAACCACAAUGAGAGGUGAACACAUCACAAAAUAAUGCUUGAAUCAGGCCUGAGAGACUCCUAUCGAUUUCUAUAUUUUUCCUGGAGUCAUCAUCUUAGUCAUUUCAUAUUUUCGGAAAUUUUACAAUAUGACACAUCUUCCAUCCUAUGAUAUGUUACAGAUGACUUUUUUUUUUUAAAAAAAAGAAUUAGAUAGUUACAUACUCCUCAAAACAUGUUCCUCUCAAAAACUGUUAUGCAGACCACAAGAUGGCACCAAAGGAUUUAAAAUCAUAAACCUUGAAGGAGGAAGCAAGAAAGAAACCUUGAUGGGAAUUUCAUCAGGAAACUCUACUGUUCACCUUCAGGUGGGUCAAUACAUUAUUAACAUAACCCUGCCUGCUCUGACAUGCCACUAUAAUGCCUAAUUUAGAUUCAUUUAACAUGCUUAAUGUUUCCCUUUUGUGUGUGUGUUCAGAGAAACAGUAAGACUGUAUGUAUGGGAAAUGGUCGACUUCAGGGAGAGGUUUCAAGGGUAGCCAAAGAAUGAAUCAUUAGCAUGACUUAAAGGUAAGUGACUUUUGAAGAAAGGAUUGAUUUAAAUGAGAAUUUAGCUAGUCUUGUUAUCCUACGACAAGACGCAGAAAAGGACAAAUUGCAAUUUCUAUAACCCAGCGAUAAUGUAAAUUGUCUCAUUUACACACAUACACACUCACACAUUACAGCAAUAUCCUCCUUCCUUGGAACUGCAUCACAAUCCCUACAAUAUUUUGGUGAAUAAAGGGUUAGGUAUCCAUAGCAAUGUUAAGCAAAAUUAGUUCUAAUACAUUAAAAAGAAAACCGGCUUGCACAUAAACAGGAGCUCCUUGUCAUUGGAUCUGGGCUUUGAAAAGUACAAGGCAAUGGGGGGGGGGGAAUUGUUUAAGAACAACUUUCUGUUGUAAACAUAAGGCUUUCACAUCUCGAUACACCCUGUUUUAUGGUAUUCCUAGGCCUGCAAAAACAUGAAGGGUUUCAAGCAUCUGGCUGCACCACAAACAUAAUUUAAGGCGACAGACAAAUACAAUUUUGUAAUUUUAUCCACAUGAUCUUUCGUCUUCUCCUUCUCUUCUAUCCAAUUUAAACCGGCUCUGGCAUUCUGAUCUCUGUUACUCAAAGCACAGACUUCUGAAUUAGUGUGAAUAUGUAUAGGUAGCAAACCUUUAAUAGGAUUAUUUCUACAGUACUUCAGAUCAUCAUUCAGUUUUCAAUUCUUAUUUCUCAGGGCUCUGCAGAAAAGUCUCUCUGUGAGUGUAGAGGCAGGCACUCCUUAAGAGAAAUAUAUGCAUAAAUCAUUCUCCUUUGAACCAGCGUAUUCGUAAAAGCAGAAAAAGAUUCAAGGUUGUAAUCCUACACAGAAAAUUAGAUGCAAAGGUACUGUCAGAAGCUUUUGCACUGGGUCUCAAAUCUUAUGUGUCUUCUCUUCCUUUUUUAAAAAAAAGUAAAACUUUUACUAUUUACAAUGUUGCUAUACAUGCUAAAGAACAUAGUUUUGGCGAGACUCCCAGAUACCCA
rnacentral:lncRNA from 1 species